rnacentral:tRNA from 1 species
GGGGUAAUAGUUAAAAUAUAACAUUUAAUUUGCAUUUAAAAAUUAUUAAUAUUGAUUUAUCUCA